ACUUCCACCUCCACAUGGAAAACCUGCAGCGGCCUGUCCACGAUCACCUCCAGGUGGAUGCUGCACUCCGCGCUCCGCCCGCACAGUUCCUCGCGGUCUAUCCGAGAAUUCACAAACAAAAUGCCAUUCUGCAGAUUUACCUCCAGAAGGUCCCCGUGUCUUUUGGACGCCACCCGGAACAGGCGCGGCACCAGCUCCGCCAGCUCCAGCCCCAGGUCCUGCGCGAUGCGGCCCACGAAGGUGCCAUGCUUGGCCUCCUCAGAGACGGAGUAGUGGAGCUGGCCGCUCCCCACCUCCGAGGCUGCGAGGAGCAGAAGAGAAAGCAGCAGGCACUGGGCUCCAGGAUCUUCUCGCCAGGAGAACAACAUUAGAGGAUGAAGCAAAGCAGUAUCUGAAUACGUAAUGCACGCUGUUAUUUCUUUUGUGGAGAAAGACCUUGUGGUGGACAGCGACAUCAUGUGGCUAAACGUUUCCAUUCAAGACAAAACUGCCAUUAAUAGGAUAUCUACAUUC
ensembl:lncRNA novel transcript, antisense to PCDHA5, PCDHA4, PCDHA3, PCDHA2 and PCDHA1